rnacentral:pre_miRNA from 1 species
GGCGAAAAAUUGGGCCAGGAGCGGGCGAUUGAACCCGCAACCUUCAAUCCCCGCUCCUGGCCCAAUUUUUUGCCA